AUUGAACGCUGGCGGCAUGCCUUACACAUGCAAGUCGAACGGCAGCACGGGUGCUUGCACCUGGUGGCGAGUGGCGAACGGGUGAGUAAUACAUCGGAACAUGUCCUGUAGUGGGGGAUAGCCCGGCGAAAGCCGGAUUAAUACCGCAUACGAUCUACGGAUGAAAGCGGGGGACCUUCGGGCCUCGCGCUAUAGGGUUGGCCGAUGGCUGAUUAGCUAGUUGGUGGGGUAAAGGCCUACCAAGGCGACGAUCAGUAGCUGGUCUCAGAGGACGACCAGCCACACUGGGACUGAGACACGGCCCAGACUCCUACGGGAGGCAGCAGUGGGGAAUUUUGGACAAUGGGCGAAAGCCUGAUCCAGCAAUGCCGCGUGUGUGAAGAAGGCCUUCGGGUUGUAAAGCACUUUUGUCCGGAAAGAAAUCCUUGGCCCUAAUACGGUCGGGGGAUGACGGUACCGGAAGAAUAAGCACCGGCUAACUACGUG
rnacentral:rRNA from 1 species